GCUCACUUCGGCAGUACGUAUACUAGAAUUGGAAUGAUUGAGAAAAACUUAGAAAGACCCCUGUGCAAGGAUGACAUGUAACAUCAUAAAGAGUUCCAAAUUAUA